UGUGGAUACUAUACUGUUAUAUGUUGAUUGACUAAAGUGCAAAGGGCAGAUUAUCUUGUUCCAGACUUACCUCAUCAUACGUCAGUUUACUCUUGUCAGCAGAGUACUUUUUUAUUUGAUCAACUUUUCCUAGUGAAUCUAGUUGCGUCUUUGUUGCUCUCUACUUUUGAUACAGACCCAAGAAGUCGUUUGUUGAAGAAUAGAAACCAACAAUGUGUAAGUGCAUCUGGAGCAUCUUUUGGUUCUUUGUCCUCAUCUUCAUCGGGUACCCUGUUGCCUUCUUCUUCGCAGAGUGGUACGUUUUACUGUGUCCUCUGGGAGCCUGCUGUGAUGGAUGUUCAGGUGUAAUAGACUUUUUGUUAAAACUUACUCAGUUACCCCUCAUAUGCACCAAGAACAUGUGUGAGGGGAAGAGUAUAUUUUAAAAAUCUGAAAUCAAAAAUGCAUCUUGAGCUGAGACAAGGAGAGAUAAUAGCAAUGUCUCACCCAUCAUCUAUCAUUUAACGUCUAAAUAUGUAUGUAUUAACUGGCAUUUGUUUCAUAUCGCCAAGAUCAGUGUAAUGUCACGAAAAAAAUCAUGUUAAUCUAUUGUAAUCUACCAUUACACGCGUUAUAAAUAAAUCAUGUUAAUCUCUAUUGUAACCUACUAUUUCACGCGUUAUAAAAAAUCAUGUUAAUAUCUAUUGUAACCUACUAUUACACGCGUUAUAAAUAAAUCAUGUUAAUAUCUAUUGUAACUCUUUAUUGUAAACGUUAUAAAAAAUAUGUUGGGAAAAAUCUUUUCUUUGUAUUUUUUACUUAAAUAGGGCUAUAUUGCAGAUAAUCUAUUUUUGUAAAAUAUAUUUCGGUAAAAUAUAAAUGAGUAUGUUAUCUAAAAGUGUCAUUAUUCAAUUGAAGUGCUAACAAAAAUAAUACCAUGAUUUAUUUAGACUGUUGCCCGGAAGUAAGAGCAUUUAACUACAGAAGUGAAACAUUUGUAUGUGUGUUACAUAACAAAGAUAGAAUCGUUACCUCUACGUUACAGUGUGUAAUACAGGGUUAAAUGUGUGUAGCAUUAACUUCUGGAAAGUAAACGAUCACAUUUGUUCUUUGUUCAUUGUUGUUUAAUUCUAACACAAAUUAAGCUAACGAUUAAGUCUGUAGAAAUUCUUCGAAAGAUUGUCUUUUUAUAUUCUAUUAUUUUGAAUACUUUUCCUUGUGAGAACUUGUGAAAAUAAACAUUAAACUUGACAAAUUGACGAUUAAAAUAGAUUAUAUAAAAGUUUAUGUUUGAAACUGUUACUGAAGAUUCUGAUUCAACCUAUGAUGUA
rnacentral:lncRNA from 1 species